AAUUGGCGGUGAUGAUCAACAAUUUGCAAACAUGCCAGUUCUGCUUCUGAGAAUGUGUGACUGAAAGAACUGUUUUAUAUUCCUGAGCCAUGC